GAUGAACGCUGGCGGCGUGCUUAACACAUGCAAGUCGAACGAAGCAUUUAAGACAGAUUACUUCGGUUUGAAGUCUUUUAUGACUGAGUGGCGGACGGGUGAGUAACGCGUGGGUAACCUGCCUCAUACAGGGGGAUAGCAGCUGGAAACGGCUGGUAAUACCGCAUAAGCGCACAGUACCACAUGGUACAGUGUGAAAAACUCCGGUGGUAUGAGAUGGACCCGCGUCUGAUUAGCUAGUUGGCGGGGUAACGGCCCACCAAGGCGACGAUCAGUAGCCGACCUGAGAGGGUGACCGGCCACAUUGGGACUGAGACACGGCCCAGACUCCUACGGGAGGCAGCAGUGGGGAAUAUUGCACAAUGGAGGAAACUCUGAUGCAGCGACGCCGCGUGAGUGAAGAAGUAGUUCGCUAUGUAAAGCUCUAUCAGCAGGGAAGAUAGUGACGGUACCUGACUAAGAAGCGCCGGCUAAAUACGUG
rnacentral:rRNA from 1 species